rnacentral:rRNA from 1 species
GACGAACGCUGGCGGCGUGCCUAAUACAUGCAAGUCGAACGAAACUUUCUUACACCGAAUGCUUGCAUUCACCGUAAGAAGUUGAGUGGCGGACGGGUGAGUAACACGUGGGUAACCUGCCUAAAAGAGGGGGAUAACACUUGGAAACAGGUGCUAAUACCGUAUAUCUCUAAGGAUCGCAUGAUUCUUAGAUGAAAGAUGGUUCUGCUAUCGCUUUUAGAUGGACCCGCGGCGUAUUAACUAGUUGGUGGGGUAACGGCCUACCAAGGUGAUGAUACGUAGCCGAACUGAGAGGUUGAUCGGCCACAUUGGGACUGAGACACGGCCCAAACUCCUACGGGAGGCAGCAGUAGGGAAUCUUCCACAAUGGACGCAAGUCUGAUGGAGCAACGCCGCGUGAGUGAAGAAGGUCUUCGGAUCGUAAAACUCUGUUGUUAGAGAAGAACACGAGUGAGAGUAACUGUUCAUUCGAUGACGGUAUCUAACCAGCAAGUCACGGCUAACUACGUGCCAGCAGCCGCGGUAAUACGUAGGUGGCAAGCGUUGUCCGGAUUUAUUGGGCGUAAAGGGAACGCAGGCGGUCUUUUAAGUCUGAUGUGAAAGCCUUCGGCUUAACCGGAGUAGUGCAUUGGAAACUGGAAGACUUGAGUGCAGAAGAGGAGAGUGGAACUCCAUGUGUAGCGGUGAAAUGCGUAGAUAUAUGGAAGAACACCAGUGGCGAAAGCGGCUCUCUGGUCUGUAACUGACGCUG